rnacentral:rRNA from 1 species
CCUUCGGGACACGACGGAGACAGGUGGUGCAUGGUUGUCGUCAGCUCGUGUCGUGAGAUGUUGGGUUAAGUCCCGCAACGAGCGCAACCCUUAUCUUU